GCGGACGUGGCGGAAUUGGUAGACGCGCUAGACUUAGGAUCUAGUGGGCUUAAGCUUGUGAGAGUUCGAGUCUCUCCGUCCGUACCA
rnacentral:tRNA from 2 species